rnacentral:rRNA from 1 species
GACGAACGCUGGCGGCGUGCCUAAUACAUGCAAGUCGAACGAGAGCGACCGGUGCUUGCACUGGUCAAUCUAGUGGCGAACGGGUGAGUAACACGUGGGUAACCUGCCCAUCAGAGGGGGAUAACAUCCGGAAACGGAUGCUAAAACCGCAUAGGUCUUCGAACCGCAUGGUUUGAAGAGGAAAAGAGGCGCAAGCUUCUGCUGAUGGAUGGACCCGCGGUGCAUUAGCUAGUUGGUGAGGUAACGGCUCACCAAGGCCGUGAUGCAUAGCCGACCUGAGAGGGUGAUCUGCCACAUUGGGACUGAGACACGGCCCAAACUCCUACGGGAGGCAGCAGUAGGGAAUCUUCCGCAAUGGACGCAAGUCUGACGGAGCAACGCCGCGUGAGUGAAGAAGGUUUUCGGAUCGUAAAACUCUGUUGUUAGAGAAGAACAAGUGCUAGAGUAACUGUUAGCGCCUUGACGGUAUCUAACCAGAAAGCCACGGCUAACUACGUG